rnacentral:misc_RNA from 1 species
GAUGAAGAACGUAGCGAAAUGCGAUAAGUAGUGUGAAUUGCAGAAUUCAGUGAAUCAUCGAAUCUUUGAACGCACAUUGCGCCCCUUGGUAUUCCAUGGUGCAUGCCUGUUCGAGCGUCAUUUGUACCUUCAAGCUUUGCUUGGUGUUGGGUGUUUGUCUCGCCUUUGCGUGUAGACUCGCCUUAAAAUAAUUGGCAGCCGGCGUAUUGAUUUCGGAGCGCAGUACAUCUCGCGCUUUGCACUCAUAACGACAGCGUCCAAAAGUACAUUUUACACUCUUGACCUCGGAUCAGGUAGGGAUACCCGCUGAACUUAAGCAUAUCAAUAAGCGGAGGA